rnacentral:rRNA from 3 species
GGACUCUCGGCAACGGAUAUCUCGGCUCUUGCAUCGAUGAAGAACGUAGCGAAAUGCGAUACUUGGUGUGAAUUGCAGAAUCCCGUGAACCAUCGAGUCUUUGAACGCAAGUUGCGCCCGAAGCCAUUAGGCUGAGGGCACGCCUGCCUGGGUGUCGCCC